rnacentral:rRNA from 1 species
AGUGGCGGACGGGUGAGUAACACGUGGGAAUCUGCCCUUAGAUGGGGGAUAGCAGGCCGAAAGGCCUAUUAAUACCCCAUAUGUAUAUGUCUCGACAGGGACAUAUAUGAAAGGAGUAAUCCGUCUGAGGAUGAGCCCGCGUCCGAUUAGCUAGUUGGUAGGGUAACGGCCUACCAAGGCUCCGAUCGGUAGGUGGUCUGAGAGGAUGAUCACCCACAAUGGGACUGAGACACGGCCCAUACUCCUACGGGAGGCAGCAGUGGGGAAUUUUGUGCAAUGGGGGAAACCCUGACACAGCGACACCGCGUGAGCGAAGAAGCCCUUUGGGGUGUAAAGCUCUGUCAGCUGGAACGAAAAAAAUGACGGUACCAGCAGAGGAAGCAUCGGCUAACUACGUGCCAGCAGCCGCGGUAAGACGUAGGAUGCAAGCGUUGUCCGGAUUUAUUGGGCGUAAAGAGUUCGUAGGUGGUUUGUUAAGUCUGAUGUUAAAGAUCGGGGCCCAACCCCGGGAGUGCAUUGGAUACUGGCAGACUGGAGUGUAGUAGAGGCAAGCGGAAUUCCAGGUGUAGCGGUGAAAUGCGUAGAUAUCUGGAAGAACACCAGUGGCGUAAGCGGCUUGCUGGGCUAUAACUGACACUGAGGAACGAAAGCCAGGGGAGCGAAUGGGAUUAGAUACCCCAGUAGUCCUGGCCGUAAACGAUGGAUACUAGGCGUAGCGGGUAUCGACCCCUGCUGUGCCGCAGCAAACGCGAUAAGUAUCCCGCCUGAGUAGUACGGCCGCAAGGUUGAAACUCAAAGGAAUUGACGGGGGCCCGCACAAGCGGUGGAACAUGUGGUUUAAUUCGAAGCAACGCGAAGAACCUUACCAGGGCUU